rnacentral:tRNA from 1 species
GACGCCUUACGUCGCAAGCAUCCUGAGCGGUUUUGUAAACCGAAGGUCGCGGGUUCGAUUCCUGCCGGGGGCACCA